AGUGAACGCUGGCGGUAGGCCUAACACAUGCAAGUCGAACGGCAGCACAGUAAGAGCUUGCUCUUACGGGUGGCGAGUGGCGGGCGGGUGAGGAAUACAUCGGAAUCUACUUUUUCGUGGGGGAUAACGUAGGGAAACUUACGCUAAUACCGCAUACGAUGUAGGGGUGAAAGAAGGGGAUAUUAGGAGUUGGGGGGAUGGAAGGAGACGAUGUCGGAUUAGCUAGUUGGCGGGGUAAAGGCCCACCAAGGCGACGAUCCGUAGCUGGUCUGAGAGGAUGAUCAGCCACACUGGAACUGAGACACGGUCCAGACUCCUACGGGAGGCAGCAGUGGUGAAUCUUCUACACUUGUCACAAUCCUAAUCCAUCCAUACCACGUUAGUCAAGAAGGCCUUCGGGUUGUAAAGCCCUUUUGUUGGGAAAGAAAAUCAUCAUCUUAAUACCCCACUGUUCUAACUUUCCCCCAAUAAUAAGCACCGGCUAACUUCCUG
rnacentral:rRNA from 1 species